CAUAUGUGGGUCCGACCACCAUUAAUCAAAUACAAACUUUCUUAAUAAUUAGGAGUAUUUUAGAUGAUGGCACCUAGCUAGAUAUUUAGCUAAAACUGUUUUUGGGGAAGAACAUUGUUUGCGUCCAUCAGCUAGCUGGCUUUUUUUAUGACCAGCACUGUCCAGAAGCUUGGGGAGACGUGUCUGCGCUCGUGCGGCAGCGGCCGGCAGGAAUCAGGAGGCAUCCAAACACAGGAACAGACACAGGGACAGGAGUGGAGGGAACAGAGAUGACCACAGUCACACCCGGUGCUCAGCACGAGAGACCUAGGAGAGUUCCUGUGUGAUAAAGAGCAGCAGCUGGAGCGUUUUUCGGAGGGAGGAGGAUGGAGGAGCAGAAAAAAAGAGAGGAGAGGAGACAACAGUAGGAAGAGGAGGAGAAGGUCAGAGGUCAAACUACUAUGCACCCUCGUUUUUUUUGUCCUCAACGACUCCUUCCAACUCCCCCACACCCUGUUUACCUCUCUCUCGCUCUCUCUCUGAUUUGGGUUGAGUAUGGUCUGCCUGUUGGGUUAGAUUAGAUGUGCUUUAAUGGUGAACAUCUCAACUGAUGAUUUGAAAUUGAUUGGGAGACAGCCCAUCAUUGCAGACAGACUCUCCCGUUUAUGUUAAUAGAUUAAUGAUUGGGCGGUCUCUGUGGCUGCACCAUGAUGUCAUCGUUGACGUAUCAUGUGUCAUUUCCUGGAAUCAGACAAUACAUGAUAUAUAUCUGUCACACGCACAUGGAUAUGAAUAUUUGAUUAUGUGUAGGACCAGAUAGAGUUUCCAUAUGAUACAAUAGGAUGUGAUAGGAUAUGAGGCCAGUUUUAGCCUAUAGAAUUGAUGUUGGUUUAUUACUGCAGAAUUAUCAAUUAGAUAUGCAAACAAUAUGAGUUAAUGUAUUGAUAAAAAACACUGUUGAUUAAUCUGUCUCUGGUUAUUUAGGCGUGUGUGUGUUCUGCUGUAGAACUCUGUCUCUGGUUAUUUAGGUGUGUGUGUGUUCUGCUGUAGAACUCUGUCUCUGGUUAUUUAGGUGUGUGUGUGUUCUGCUGUAGAACUCUGUGGAGGUUCUAUUUUAGUCCUGGCACCGGUCGGGUUCUGGGUUGCCGUAGCGAUAUUGUCCGCUAUCACCUCAGAUGACUCUCUCUCUCUACCUCUCCUCCCCCUCUGCCUCUUUCUCCCUCUCCCCCACCCUCGGCUUCCCUCUAUCUCUCUGGAUCUCUUUAUCGCUAUCUCUCUCUUUUCUUCUCUC